UGUGCCCACGAGUUCUGCCUGUUUUUGCCAGCUACCUUCCUCAGCACAAUGAUGAUCAAGUAGGACUCUUUGGAUUUCUCCCAAGGAAUAUCCCAGAUGUACUCUCCCAGGUGGCACAGCAGAGCUGCUGCAUCUGUGACCAGAGCGGGGCCACCAUCACCU